rnacentral:tRNA from 1 species
GGUCGAUUAGCUCAGUUGGUUAGAGCGCCGUACUAAUACAAUGUGUUACGACAUGCGGAUGUCAUGGGUUCGACCCCCAUAUUGACCA